CAGCCAGCCACUACCUACACUUCCACGGGGUGCCCUGGACACACACGACUCACCAGGAAACAAAGGAACACCUCAGCUCCCACAGCCACUCUCAGACCUGCCCCUGCUGCACUCCCCACCACGGGCAGCCUCGGUCUCUAUGGGUCACAGCCAAGCAGCUCCCCCCUCGCUUCUCUGUCCUCACCACUUCCACCAGGGGCCCUAAUAAAGAUGUCAAACCAG
ensembl:lncRNA novel transcript